rnacentral:rRNA from 1 species
AAAUUGAAGAGUUUGAUCAUGGCUCAGAUUGAACGCUGGCGGCAGGCCUAACACAUGCAAGUCGAGCGGUAGCACAGAGAGCUUGCUCUCGGGUGACGAGCGGCGGACGGGUGAGUAAUGUCUGGGAAACUGCCUGAUGGAGGGGGAUAACUACUGGAAACGGUAGCUAAUACCGCAUAACGUCGCAAGACCAAAGUGGGGGACCUUCGGGCCUCAUGCCAUCAGAUGUGCCCAGAUGGGAUUAGCUAGUAGGUGGGGUAACGGCUCACCUAGGCGACGAUCCCUAGCUGGUCUGAGAGGAUGACCAGCCACACUGGAACUGAGACACGGUCCAGACUCCUACGGGAGGCAGCAGUGGGGAAUAUUGCACAAUGGGCGCAAGCCUGAUGCAGCCAUGCCGCGUGUGUGAAGAAGGCCUUCGGGUUGUAAAGCACUUUCAGCGGGGAGGAAGGCGGUGAGGUUAAUAACCUCACCGAUUGACGUUACCCGCAGAAGAAGCACCGGCUAACUCCGUGCCAGCAGCCGCGGUAAUACGGAGGGUGCAAGCGUUAAUCGGAAUUACUGGGCGUAAAGCGCACGCAGGCGGUCUGUCAAGUCGGAUGUGAAAUCCCCGGGCUCAACCUGGGAACUGCAUUCGAAACUGGCAGGCUAGAGUCUUGUAGAGGGGGGUAGAAUUCCAGGUGUAGCGGUGAAAUGCGUAGAGAUCUGGAGGAAUACCGGUGGCGAAGGCGGCCCCCUGGACAAAGACUGACGCUCAGGUGCGAAAGCGUGGGGAGCAAACAGGAUUAGAUACCCUGGUAGUCCACGCCGUAAACGAUGUCGAUUUGGAGGUUGUGCCCUUGAGGCGUGGCUUCCGGAGCUAACGCGUUAAAUCGACCGCCUGGGGAGUACGGCCGCAAGGUUAAAACUCAAAUGAAUUGACGGGGGCCCGCACAAGCGGUGGAGCAUGUGGUUUAAUUCGAUGCAACGCGAAGAACCUUACCUGGUCUUGACAUCCACAGAACUUAGCAGAGAUGCUUUGGUGCCUUCGGGAACUGUGAGACAGGUGCUGCAUGGCUGUCGUCAGCUCGUGUUGUGAAAUGUUGGGUUAAGUCCCGCAACGAGCGCAACCCUU